GUGAGUAACACGUGGAUAACCUACCUAUAAGACUGGGAUAACUUCGGGAAACCGGAGCUAAUACCGGAUAAUAUUUUGAACCGCAUGGCUCAAAAGUGAAAGACGGUCUUGCUGUCACUUAUAGAUGGAUCCGCGCUGCAUUAGCUAGUUGGUAAGGUAACGGCUUACCAAGGCAACGAUGCGUAGCCGACCUGAGAGGGUGAUCGGCCACACUGGAACUGAGACACGGUCCAG
rnacentral:rRNA from 1 species